UGGGAGCCUCAGACAGCGCUCUGGGGAUUUGUCUGCAUGCAGGUGGCCUGGGAGCCAGAUUUCCCUGUGUCUUUGGCUCUGUUUUCCCUACAGGCAGAUCCUGAGACAAGGAUCUGGCUGCAGGUCAUCGAUGUGGGAGGUGAUUGCAGGUUGCGCAGAAAAGGAAUGAAAAAGUGACCAAACAAGGGAGAGGACCUGUAUGAGGAAUUUUGCUACAGUAGUAGAAAAUGAGUGGACACAGGCAUCUUCCCAGGAGGACAGUGGCUCAUGGCAGUCUGUGAGGCCAUGUAGGAUGAAACCAAAAUCAACUCUGUUCCAGGGUGCGUUUCUAGAACUGGAACACAAACCUGUGUUGGGAAGUACGUGGAGAAGUCUGUCCGGGAAGAUUCAGUGUCUGUGAGAUGGCAAAGAAAGGUCACCGCAUUUGUUUGCCACCCCGAGGGGAAAGCAGGACUGUGCACAAAGGUCCUACUGAAAAAAAUAUUUAAAUAAAGUAGAAAGAU